UCUCUGAGCCAUGAUUGCCCAGCCGAAGUAUCUCUAACUUUCCUGCCAGCUCUAACAUCCUAUGAGUCUGUGUUUAUUAUCCCUGCUCUUAAAGCCUGUAACCUUAGCCAGGCUAAAUCUCCCUGUUUGGGAGAGAGUUAUUCCAGGACUGAGACUUGGGGUGCCCAGUGCCGAGAGCCCAGCUAGAGAUGUGGGCCGUGGAGACCCUGUGAAUCGCUGAAGCUUAGAGCCCGCUCCAGCCGGGUGCUGCUCUCCAAGGUGCUGCUACCUUACGCGCCGUCUCGUACUUGUCCUGCACAUUCACUCCCGAAGACCAGUGGCUUGGGAAGGUGGGCGGUUUAUUGUCCCCAUUAUCUCCUCCAGCCCAUCCUCAUUGGUCAGUAUGGAUAAUUGACAUUUUUCUCAGCCUCAAGUAAAUCGCUAUGCAAACAGAGCUUCAAGCUCCCCUACUUUCCAACCAGAUCACCAGCCCUUGACCCUCCUCUCAAACUUCUGGAGCUGCCUCCCCAGUGAUAGAGGGCCAGACUCCAUGGGCACCAGGACUUGGGAAGGGGAGAACAGGAGAGUUCUUUUCUUCACCUCAGUCCUGCUGGGCUAACAUUUGUGAUUGUCACUAGCGUUCACUCUAAUGUAUCUCUGGCUCUAGAAUUUCAAGUUCUACUUAGUGACUCCUAUCUCAAGGUAGCUUCCCAGUGUGGUCAAGGAAGAGGUUUGAGCUUCAGAGCCCAGUUGCAAGGUUCUUCUCUGAGCUGAACAAUGGCUGUAGCUGUAGACCAACAAAUUCAGACUCCUCAAGUGCAAGAAGAACUUUGACUCGUGAAGCUGGAAGAGAAUUCCCACUGGGAGCAGGAAAUUUCCCUUCAAGGGAGUGACCCUGGACCAGACACCUCCUGCCAGCGUUUUUGGCAUUUCUGCUAUCAAGAAACAUCCAGACCCCAGGAGGCCCUCAUCCAACUCCGGAAGCUCUGUCAUCAGUGGCUGAGACCAGAGAAGUGUACAAAAGAGCAGAUCCUGGAGUUGCUCGUGCUGGAACAGUUCCUGACUGUCCUUCCUCAGGAGAUCCAGAUCUGGGUUAGAUAGAAGCAUCCAGAGAGUGGGAAGGAGGCCGUGGCUCUGGUGGAAGACUUGCAGAAAGAACCUGGAAGAUGGGGGCUCCAGUCCUUGAACGGGGGCAGGAGGUAUACUCAGAGGAGAAGGAAGCUCCAGGAUCAGCACUGGGUUCCCUGAGGAGCCGUCUGAAGCAAGCACGGACAGGACCCACGUGUCUGUUACCGGCGAUGGUGAAGAACUCACAGCCAGAACCAGAGCCGUUGACUCACAGCCCCAUGGUAGAACUCUGAUCCUUCCACAAGAGCGCCCUGCCUGAUCCUCCGGCUCUGGGUCUUUCCGUGGAGGAAAGCGGUGGUGACCAGGGGAUGAUGAGCCCCUCCCAGGAGUUGAUGACAUUCAGUGAUGUGGCUAUGUAUGUCUCCCAGGAGGCACGGAGGCAGCCAGAACCUGGGGGGAGGAAACACGUGGAAAGAAGUUGGGAGAAAUCUGCAAGUGGGGCCUCGAUGGUGCCAGCUCCUGCAGGGAGCAGGAGAAAACCCCACAGAGCCCAGAUCUUCAGCGCCCCAGAGAGGAGGAGAGCGCCAGGGACUCCGCAGCAGGUGGGGGAAGAGUCCAGCCUGGCCACUUGCCCGUCCCAAGAAAAGCCAAGACCUGGGAGGAGCUGGAGUGGCAGGGCCUGGAGGAUGAGAAGGUGGCAGCGGCGCACUAGGGCUUUGAGGAAACUUAAGAUUUUGGGGGGAAUUCUCAGUGAGUUCUGGACCCGUGAGAAAUUGCGCACCUGCCACCGAGCCGCCAGGUGUACCGGCUGGUGGCUGAUCGGCUGCGCGAGAGCAGCUUCCCGCGGACCCUGGAACAGUGUCGCGACUGCUUCAGAAACCUCCAGACCCACUACCGCAAAGCCAGGAGCAGCCGGGCGCCGGGCACCUGCCCCUUCUACCAGGAGAUGGACGCCCUGAUGGGCCCCUGGACCCUUGCCGGCACCUUUGAUGCCUUAGAGGUGGCAGGAGGCCUUCUGCGGGACAGAGGGGACCCCAAAGAGAACCAGAGGCUGUGCUGGCAGCUGUGACAGGAGAUGGUAGCGAACUGGUGGCUGAGCCCCAAGAGGAGCCCGGGAGCCUCGGCCCCCCGGCUUUCAGGGGGAGUUCUGGUGGUAAGCGCCCCACCCCCAGUGCCCCCCAGAGCAGUGGGAGAGGGCAAGUCUCGCAGGAAAGCAUUAGGGACUGUGAAGCAGGAGAGACGCUUAUUGUCUGGCCCUCUGGUGUGGCCUCGUCUGGAGGAAAAUUGUUGAGUCCUUUACGGAACACAGAUACCACUAGAAUCAGCCCUCCGCUGAAGCCGUCCCACGGGCUCACUCACAAAGACUCCUGGGAGGGUCUUGCCCUGCUCUACAGCAAAGGGCUCUCCCUGUCUGCUCUUAGUAAUGGCAUUAUAGAAACAAUAUUUAGUGGCAGUUGUAGGAGGAAAGAGAGGUUGGAGUGACUUCCAGUUCCACUUGUUCAUUUCCAGCUAAAGUACCCCAUCCGUGUGAACUCUGCGCAGAUUAUAGACAGCAGCCUGCCAACUUAAGACUUGUCUGUUCUUGCGCAAACUGGUUACACACCCUAAGCCUCCGCCUUCUCAUCUGUAAGAUGGACAUAAUGACAGUAUUUGCCUCACUGGGCGGUUUCGGGGAUCCUGGCCCGUGGCUAGCACUCAGGAAAUGCUUGUUUUCAUUAUCGUGAGCAUUGUAAUUAUUGUUAACAUAGAGGAAAACCUUGCCCUGCACUCUUCACUUAAGGGGGCAUAUUUCCUGAGUCAUUAACUACACGUUUUCUUCUGAAAACUAGACUUUCUGGGAGGUGCUUCUGUGCUCAUCUCAGCUACCACUUCCCGAUAGGAGAACAGAAAGCAGACUAUGUAGGAACUCCAUGUCCCUUCUUGCUUUUCCUUGAGCAGGACUUCCGGUUCCCCAGCCAGAUGGGGUCUCGAGGUUGGAGAGAAGUGAAGAGCUUUGGAAUGACGAUCUCUGGGACUUUUGGGAAACUUCCUGUUCAGGUGGGAAAUGAGUGAAAGCUAGUAUGGCGCCAACCGAGAAGUCAGACCCAGAAUUCUGAACGCGGACAAGGCAGCACCAGGCUGGGAGAGCACCCACUCCCUGGGCCUUCCCGGCUUAUUACUCUGAGGUGCUGAAACCACAGGCGGUGGGAGAAGAACAGUAAAGGAGGUGGCACCAGGAAAGCCUGCUCCCCUUCGUUACCUUGGCUCAUAGAUGUAAACAGAUUAUUAGUGUUUAUGAUGUCCCUCUUAAAUUUCUUUUUAAAAAAUGCCCCCUUUAUUUAUUUUUUCUAGUAUACUCUACCUGCAGUGUGCGGCUCGAACUCAUGACUAAGAUCAAGAGUUACACACUCUACUGACCGAGCCAGCCUGGUGCCCCUCCCACUUAAAUUUCUAUCUGACUUUUAACUAUAAUUAACUGUCGCUUAAGUAGGUUAAUAGAAAAAGUGAGCCUUGGCAACUCCAAAUUAAACAAUACUCAACCUUAGAUUAUUGGAGGGGUGAAUUUCUCAUGGUUAAGAUGAGCUUCCCUCCUUGGUGGGGCUCGGUCAUUCUGCUGGAAUUUUAGGGGAUCCAAUAAACAGUACUGUUCUUCCCCCAGAUUCUAGACCAACCAAGAACCAUAAGAGUAAGACAUUGAGAUCAAAAUGGCAGCUUUCUAACUGCGAGAGCCAUUGGACAAUGUGGCUUGAUGUGUAGCCACAGUGGGCUUCCUCACGCUGAACCCCACACUGAGGCGCAGGGCAGCCCCAGACGACCACAGCCUUGCCCUGCCGGCACAGAACUGUCACUGCUGGUCUUCUGAGCCACGUGUGCCCAGCUCCUUGUUAGUCAAAGAAGUCCUCCCUCCUGCUUGAGGAGCGAGGGGAUGGAGAGAGGCCAGAAGUGUUCUCAGGCUUGUCCCUCUACCUGGAAGGCAGUAUCAAGAAGAAAAAGGUGGCUUUUUAGUACUGAUUGCCAGCCCACAGGUGGGUGGGAGGAGAGGAGCCAAGCUCGGGGGCAGAGCCUCUGAGGAGUGGGGAGAGGAAGAAAUGGGUCUGGACCUUGCCCACUGGACCUUCCCUUUCUUCAGUCUUCUUCCACACGACCUUCUUGUUUAGAAGCUGGGGGAGGGAGGGAGAUCUGCAAGUCUGCUGUCUUAACCAGGGUUCAGCCAUAGUCCAAUGCUUGGUUCCUGGUUAAUGGAAAGCUGACUGUGUUCUAUCUGUCGUCAUCAAGAAAUUGUUUCUCAGCGUCCAGGAGGGGACUCUUUCACGUUGUUUGCGUUCUUCUGAGCUCAGAAAGCAGGUCACAUUUGCAGUUUCAUCUCAUUCUUUCAGAUCUUGAAACAAAGACACAGGACAAGGAGAAUUCAAGCCAGGACAUGUCAGAGGAAGCAGAGCUCUGGGGGGCGCUAUUAGAGAGACCCAAAGCGGCUGCUUCCCCGGCUCUUGAUUGGAGGACAGACUGGGAAGGCAAACAUGGGGCGGAGAGGCGGUGGGAAGUACCCUUAGAAGAUGGACAAGAAGCACGCUCCCCUCCAGAAGGAGACGUAGGUAAAUUGAUAGGCCCUCAGGGAACCUACAUAGGAGGAAAGUCCCAUCUCUGCUGUGCAUGUGGAAAACAACAUGGCAGCCAGGGCUCACGCUUUGCUGUGCACAGAUUAGCCCACACUGGGGAAAAGACACCUUCUAAGUGUGGCCGUUGUGGGAGAAGCUUUGGCCGAAGCUCACAUCUGGUUUGCCACCAGAGAAUCCCCACCAGGGAAAGGCCCUACAAAUGCCCUGAAUAUGGGAAGGGCUUCAGUGAUCCUUCUAACCUCACAGCACAUCAGAGAGUCCACACUGGACAGAAGCCCUAUAAAUGUGGGGAGUGCUGGAAAAGCUUCAGCCAGAGCUCCAGCCUUACUAUGCACCAGAGAGUCCACACAGGGGAGAAACCCCAUAAGUGCAGGGAGUGUGGGAAAAGGUUCACCAAUAGCUUGCACUUCAGUGCGCACCGGCAAACACGCGGGCAAAAAACCCUACCAGUGCCCCGAGUGCGGGAAAAGGUUCAGCAAGAGUUCCACGCUCACCAGCCAUCGGAGGAUCCACACAGGAGAGAAACCCUAUGCAUGUCUCGAGUGUGGGAAGAGUUUCAGUGACCGCUCAAACCUCAUUACCCACCAGUGAAUUCACACUGGAGACAGACCCUAUGAAUGCAGGGAGUGUGGGAAAAGCUUCAGUCAGAGCUCCAGUCUCAUCAUCCACUGGAGAAUCCACACCGGAGAGAAACCCUACGAGUGUGCUGAAUGUGGGAGGCGAUUCAACAACAGCUCACAUUUUAGUGCGCUUUGGAGGUCCCAUGUGACAGAGGCUCGAAGUGUAGUAGGAAUGUCUUUAAAGCACCAAGUCUAAGAACACCGCAGAAUCCGUUCAAAAAUGGUUUGUACGGUCCUUGAUUCUAUACCAUGACACCCACACGAGAUGGAGAGAAAGAAUUUAGACCCGGUCCAAUAGAUGUUAUUUUUGUUUCUCUCUCUAAACACUCACUUGGCUAAUGAAAUACUCCUCAGGGCUUUUUUCUCCAUGCUGUUAAAAUGGGAGUUCCUGUGGAGAGAAUUGAGAGACUAGUUCUGAAUUUGACUGGAUCUCCAUCACAGUACGUCUCCACGAUGAUCCUGUGCCUUAAUUUCCACAGCUUGGUAUGCUGAGGGGGACAGUCCCGUCCCCGAGACCCUCCUCCGGGGACAGAAGCUUCUGCCCUGUGGCGCUGGGCAACUAGACAGGGAUUUAUGAAUUACAUACAGUUUUAAAGGUCUUCCAUGGUCCUCCCUAUGGGAGGACUAGGGCCCGGGAAUUGCCGACAUUUCUCCACGUUCCUUAAGAUUUACAUGGAGUUACUGGAGAGAAAGGCACUUGAUCGUGUCAUUUGGAGGGGGGGAAAAGGAGAAAAGGUCCACGCUGGAGGCUGGCUUUCUAAACCAUAACGUACUCUUCCUCUCAACAUACUAGGUUCAACCAUAUGAGAUAGCCAUUUUGAGCUCCCAAACCAGCAAUUUCAUGAUUCAACCUAAACAGACUUUUUGCAUAAUAGAAUUACUCCAGAUUCCCAGAAGAGCUGCUUAUAGAGCCUUACAGCUUCCACCGUGUCCUAAAAUGUAAGACUGGGUCUAGGAGAUCACAAACAGGCUAAUGUAAGCCUUGUCUAUAAUUUGUAAAUAUGUCCAGAGCAAUAACUACGAACCACAGCAUUGAUCAAGAAGACUCCCAGUCGGAGGAUCUGCCUGUCACCGGCCUCUGACAAACCCCUUUGUUCCUACGGGGGAGGCCAUGUGCAGGUUCACAGGUUUUUGAAGAUUUGGGGUGUCUCUGCGAGAGCAGAGCACAGUUCCUGGGGGCACUCUGACACCCACAGCAAAUGGUGCUUGGAAAUCAGUGGAAUACACUUUCUCCCUCUUAAAAUAGUUUCCUUUGGGGCAUCUGGGUGGCUGGCUCUGUUGGUUAAACAUCCGGCUCUUGAUGUCAGCUCAGGUCUCAAUCUCACGCUUGUGAGUUCAAGCCCCACAACAGGCUUUGAAAAAAAAAAAAGUUUCCUUUGUGCAUUUGACUUGAAAAUAUUUCCCCAGAACUUUCCAGAAACCCACCAAUUAUAAAACAAAGCACUGUCGACACAUGACAAUUUCAUAUAAUUAGAUUUAUAAAAUAUUAUGUAAUGAGUUUUUUUAAUGAACACCAAAGAACUUAUUCAAAUAAGUGUUAUCUGUCAAAAGCAGUCAUUCUGAUGGGCUGUGGGCUUUACAUGUUGUUACCAUUAUUGAAGACACUGAGUUUUCCUGUAAGAAUUAUCUUCAAACCACCUUAGAAGGCCCCCUAUCAGCGUAUUUCCGGCACAGAGUAGUGUCCUGCACAUAAGCAAGGCUUAAUAAACACUGACAGAACGAGCUU